rnacentral:misc_RNA from 1 species
GGAAGCCCCGUGAACAGAGCAGCAGAAGCGAGACUCUCUGAGCAGGGAGCGAGGAGCGGGCAAGCAAUUGGGCAUAUCGAAAAUGGCGGUAUCGGGAGAUCUCAGGGUCUCUCCAACACUGGCCUCUUAUUGCAAACACCCUCUUCGAAGCUCUUUGCAUUCUUCAAAUUCAAAGGUCAUCAUCUCUUUUUACCCUCUUCGGUACCUCAAUCCACUUUCAUUUUUGCAAUUUGCAUCUCCUUUGAUAUUGUUCUUGCGUAAUUAUUCUCAUUUAUGCCCAUAAGCUCAUUUAUCUGCUUGGUUAGCGAGAAAAACUAGGAAAACUAAAAAUGGGAAAACCUGGGAUCUUGGCAUAUGGGGACUUAUGCCAAUUGAUCAAUUACGGUCAUUUUUUUUGUUUCAUUUGGUGAUUUGGGUUGUUAUUUGGCUUACAAAGUUUGAUGUUUUUGUGAUUGUUGCUUGUAUGUGCAUCCAUUGCUAUGGAUUGGACAGUAGCUUAGUGGUAGAACUUAGUUAAAAUUGAACAGGUCGCUUCCAUUUUUUGUUUGCAGAAUGUAAAUUCCGAAUUAGGGUUACAUAGUAUUUGGAAAGAGUACAGUGCUUAGGGAAGGUAACGGGGAACUCAAAUGGAAUAAGCUUAGAAUAAAGCAUUUGACAUUUGUUGAUGUAUUUAUAGCUGGAGGUAGCUCAGAUUUACAUCCUCUAAGGUUAUUUAAUACUCGAAAUGAUGUGAAUCUGGUGUGUAAUAUCUACGUUUCUAUAUAUCCAGCAAAAAAUUAGUUGGUCGGCAGAGUUGAGCGGGAUUCUGUGGUUAAAUUUACAGGAACUGAUCCUCCUAAUGAAGUCUGAUCUACUCUCUCCCCUGGUGGGGAGCUUUGAAUUACUCUAGUUAACUUUUCAGACAUGUCUUUUCACUGAUACACAUGCCUUCUUUUGCUCAUUUCUUCAUGCUGCUAAUGCAUGCUUCUAUUUGUGUAGCAUUUCCUUUUCCUUCAUAUAAAGGUUGGCAGAUUAUUGAGUAUUUUACUAAUGCAGUCUAGGAUUGGUUAUAUUGGUUUGAUUGCAUAGUGUCUUUGUCUUUUCAUGGUUUUC